rnacentral:rRNA from 1 species
GUGAGGAAUUUUGCGCAAUGGCCGCAAGGCUGACGCAGCAACGCCGCGUGGGUGAUGAAGGCCUUCGGGUCGUAAAGCCCUGUCAGGUGGGAAGAAAGGCCUGGAGAGGAAAGGUUUCAGGUUUGACGGUACCACCAGAGGAAGCACCGGCUAACUCCGUGCCAGCAGCCGCGGUAAUACGGAGGGUGCGAGCGUUAUUCGGAAUUACUGGGCGUAAAGCGCGUGUAGGCGGGGGGACAAGUCUGAUGUGAAAGCCCUGGGCUUAACCUGGGAAGCGCAUUGGAAACUGUUUGUCUUGAGUACUGGAGAGGAAGGGGGAAUUCCUGGUGUAGAGGUGAAAUUCGUAGAGAUCGGGAGGAAUACCAGUGGCGUAGGCGCCCUUCUGGACGGUAACUGACGCUGAGGCGCGAAAGCGUGGGGAGCGAACGGGAUUAGAAACCUAGUAGUCC